CCCGGUUAAAUCCCAUGGGGGUUUCCAGAGAGGGGGUCCUCCCUUCGGGGGCCGUGGUCACAGGUGCUGCAUGGCUGUCGUCAGCUCGUGUCGUGAGAUGUUGGGUUAAGUCCCGCAACGAGCGCACCCCUCGCCCUUAGUUGCCAGCAUUAAGUUGGGCACUCUAGGGGGACUGCCGGUGAUAAGCGGGAGGAAGGGUGGGGAGGAGUCAAAUUCUUAUGGCCCUUUAGGGGGGGGGUUCCCCAGUGGUACAAUGGUCGGUAAAAAGGGGAGGCAAGCCGGAGGGCGGAGCCAAUCCUCAAAAACCCUUCUCAGUUCGGAUUGCGUUCUGCAACUCGCCUCCAUGAAGUGGGA
rnacentral:rRNA from 1 species